rnacentral:ncRNA from 1 species
UAUUUAUUUGGUUUUGGUUAAAUAAAGAAUUAAUAUUAAAACCAUCAUAAAAAUUUUAUAUACGUAUUUAAUUUUAUUAUAGAUUAUUUUUUAGUGGUGAAUUUUUUAAUAAAAACGAAAGUUUGUUUAAGUUAAUAUUUAGAAGGGGUUAAUAAUAGGUGCCAGCAGCUGCGGUUAUACCCAUUCUUAUCUUUAUUUUUGGGUUAAAUAUAAGUUAAUUUAAUAUAUAAAAACUUUUCUUUUUCGGUUAAAUGAUUUAAGUAUUAUUAUUCGAAAUAUAUUUAAUUACAUUAUGAAAUUUGUUAUAAAAACCAAGAUUAGGUACCUUGUUAUUAAUAAACGUAAAUAAUAAUACCCAGAGUAAUAAAUUUAAUGAAACUCAAAAGACCUGGCGGUGGAUGUCUUCCUAUCAGAGGAGUGUGCUAAGUAAUAGAUAAUCCACUAAGUAAUAAACCUAUAUUUUUUUAGUCAGUGUACGGCCGCUUUCAGAUAAUUUUCUUAGAAAAAAAAAAUUAUCAUCAAUAACUAUAAUACUAGUUAAGACAGGUCAAUGUGCUGCUGAUAUAUGGGGUUAGGGUGCGCUAUUUCAAUUUAAAAUAAAGGAAAAUAGGUUGUAAUAUCUAAUAUAAUUCAGAUUUGAUAGUAAUAAAGCAAUAAAGAUGUGCUUAUGAACUUAGGUAAAGCUCUGUGUACACAUCGCCCGUCGUUCUUUUCGAAAGAAAAGAGAAGUCGUAACAUGGUAGUCUUAAUAGAAAUUGAGGCU